CUAACCGUACCCCCAAAAACAUAACGCACAGCAAUAGAUGCAGCGAGAUGAGAGAAAGCUCGGGGAAGAAAAAGGAAGAAGAGGGAGAAGGGGGUCGUCGUCGGGGGAGGAGACUGCCGCCGUCGUGAGCCAUCACUGAGCGUUGCCGUCGAGUACACGGACCAGAGGGAGACGCGAGCAGUGACCGAGAGGAAGCUCCGUCCUCGUCGCCGUUCCGUCGUCGCUGUUGAAGCCAACCUCGUUGUCGUUGAAGAAGCUGCGCGUUUAGCCGAAUCGUCGCUUCUGAACCACUGCUGUGCCGCCGUCAAGUCUGAGUCGAAGAAAGGAGACGUGGAGUCGGCAUCGCACAGAGAGAAACGCGAAUGGCGAGGAGAAGAAGAACGCAUGGUGGGGAGGCUUUCCUUGCCGCUGCCGCCGUCGGAAUCACGAACCAAGGUGGAGGAGAAGGCGAUAUUCCCCGUUGCUGCUAUAAUCGUCCGUGCUGCUGGCGUCGCUUCUUCGUUCUGUUAUUCUUUUCUAAUUCUUAAAUAUUAUUCUAUCCAUUUUGAAUUCAUCGUUUUUGCUCGCUGUCGUGGCCAACUCGCGCUGCUGCUGCUCUGUCAAAGCUGUUGCGAAUGUUGCUAACAUGGGUGGAUAAGGGAUGAAGGAGCUGCUGCAUUUUGGGUGCAGCCCAACCAGUCAUCACGCCACAAUUCCGUCUUCGAUUUCUGCAAAAUUCGACAUGGAGGUAGGGGGUUUAAUUUAAACCGUUUUAAUUUAAUAAUGCCCACAAAGUUGAUUGAGCAAUUGCAAAUAGGUUUAAUUGUUGUGAAUAAUUGAUCGGCUACAUGGAUGUUGAAUAUGAUUGGGCUUGUUGAUUUUAUGAGAUUGAUUGGUUAUGUGUGAAUUAUGAAUUGUUGAUAAAUGAUUGCUGAGAGUGCUGAAUCUUGAUGUUA